rnacentral:rRNA from 1 species
GACGAACGCUGGCGGCGUGCCUAAUACAUGCAAGUCGAACGAAGCUUUUUUAACUGGUGCUUGCACCGACUUAAACAACUGAGUGGCGAACGGGUGAGUAACACGUGGGUAACCUGCCCCAAAGCGGGGGAUAACAUUUGGAAACAGAUGCUAAUACCGCAUAACCACAGAAAACACAUGGUUUCUGUGUCAAAGAUGGUUUCGGCUAUGACUUUGGGAUGGACCCGCGGCGUAUUAGCUAGUUGGUAAGGUAAUGGCUUACCAAGGCAAUGAUACGUAGCCGAACUGAGAGGUUGAUCGGCCACAUUGGGACUGAGACACGGCCCAAACUCCUACGGGAGGCAGCAGUAGGGAAUCUUCCACAAUGGACGAAAGUCUGAUGGAGCAACGCCGCGUGAGUGAAGAAGGUUUUCGGAUCGUAAAACUCUGUUGUCAGAGAAGAACGUGUGCGAGAGUAACUGUUCGUGCAGUGACGGUAUCUGGCCAGAAAGCCACGGCUAACUACGUGCCAGCAGCCGCAGUAA